AUGUGUUCCUUUUGCAAUGAGCUAGAAACCUCACAACAUCUCUUCUUUACGUGCCCUGUGGCCAAAAUUGUGUGGCGAUCAAUCGGGAUAGUGCUUGGCACUGACAAAUGCCCUAAUAACUAUUGGCAGUUCUUUACUUGGUGCCAGAUUUUCCUCCCUGGUCCUGGGAAGUUCUACAUUGUGGGACUAGCGGCUGCAUGCUGGGCGAUUUGGCUUGCUCGAAACAGGGCUACUUUUGAAAAGAAAUUGAUUAAAAACCCCUUUGAAAUUGUAUUUUCCAUAUGCUCUUUUCUCUUGUAUUGGGAAGGACUGCAGUAGGGAGGCGACAUCGACAAGCUGUGCUCAGGUGCCGAGAUGAUCAGGGCGAGCACGAUGCAACUGAUGAGGGUGUGCAAUGAAGCAAGUCGUCCGAUCGGAGGCACAUGA
rnacentral:rRNA from 1 species